rnacentral:rRNA from 1 species
GUCUAAAGAAGUCGUGUUGCCAGCUAAGGGAGAGAGGCGGGAGACGGAAUUCUUCGGGGGGACGAGGUUAGGAGAGUUCGGUAGAGGUGGAAGUGAGGAGUAAGAACCUCUUGUUGUGUCUUGGAUUAGUUAGUCUUACCGGCGUUGGUGGUACAGUGAGAGGAGGGGUCGGAAGCGGCCGUUCCGUCACUUCUCGAAUGGUAGCGGUAGAGAAAAGCCCCUCCGAGCGCAAUGGUACGCGUUCUGACGUCGUUUCCAGUUCGUCCAACGGAGGCCGUCGGGCACCAUGCCGAGACUGGCGCACGAGAUAGAACCGGGCGAAAGACCACUCGGGGGCUCGAUGGACUGGCCACUCAAGGGGCCGCUGAUGCCCACCCUGUGGCGACCAGACAGCCGACUGGGGCUCUGGAAGCGGUUCUUGGCGCUCGACCUCCACUAGGUGACGGCAACCCGGUACGAACCGCGCGAGCCAACGCAGAAGGGGCUCGACGAGCGGGCGUUGCCACACUUCAAGCCGCUCCGACAAACCAAGUUCCGACCUAGGGUCUAGAAGUCGCUCCCGCCGGAGCUGAUGGAGCCGUUGGGUUCGGAACACGUGCGUGUUUCAUAGGAACGGUAGACCCGAACAGUCCAGCACGAGUACCCGCGGCAACUCCCGAUGGCGUAACGGCCACCUGGCGAGCCACUCUAGCAACUGGGCGAGAUGGGCCCGCCGUCGAAACUAGGCGAGCCGGAACGGCUGCUGGGACUCCGUAAGCGGCUCGAGUUCCAAUUCCUCUAGUUCUUGCCAGCGGAGCGAUACAAAAGGUACAAGCCAAAGAAACACGUUCGGUAGCAGUGGCCGUUCCCAGGUGAUCUCUUGGAGCGACUGGUGGAGAGGCUGGGGCAGUUGUUGUUGCGUACCCGUAAGCGGUGGUUGAAACAAGGGCCGUUCAUUCCACACAUACACACACACGUGUGCGAACGCCACUUCAUACGGCAACACGCCAGACUUAACAUGAUGGUACUACAUUUAAUGCUCCUAAGUAACAAACCUUUUUUUAAUACUCCAAAAACACGUUUUCGAUUACAAAAGG